UAGCUCAGUCAGUUGAGCGUGGCACUAACAAUGCCAAGGUGGUGGGUUUGAUUCCCAU
rnacentral:tRNA from 1 species